GAGGCCGGGGCGCUGCCAGCUCCAGGGCUGACUCACACACACCCCUGCACAGAGGCUUCAGAGAUCAGAAAUUGGAGACUCCCGAAGAGUGCGGCAAUCCAGGGAAGGCGAGAGGCCCUCCGGCUCUCAGGGGGGCUCCUGCUAUCUCCCUGGAUUCCAUUUCAAAGGCAUGAAGGCCUUGGUUUGGGAUGUGUGCGCCUGGUCUGUCUGGUUCACUUUUUCUCCUUUGCCUUUCGUUUCAAUUGAGCUGCUGCUAGUUAUUUUGUUGCACGCCUCCCACUGCUCAGUGUUGGCAUCAAAUGGUAGACUUUACUAGCUGGUGUCAGGUGUGACAGACACAUCCCUGGAAAAUUCAGCUAGGAGCUGGGUUCCGUUCUCGGCAAAUGGGUUGAGAGACCUCUGGCCAACCCAGUGGAUAUCCAGGCUAGCGGAGGAGCGCUGAAGGAGAUGAAAAAAGUCUUCACUCUCAAGGAAUCUGCAUCCAGGGGGAAGACAGAGGUCCCGGCUGCCAGCUUCCUCCUUCCUGUUGUUCUGCCUUGGAAAACCAAACCAAACCAAACAAAAAACUAGGCAUUACCACCACAGACCGCAAAGGCAUUUACUUUAAGAAACGUGUUUUCAUUCUUUUUCAAGAUCCAAAUAGGUGCAAGUAGGCUUAGAUAGAUUCCACAAGGUCCAGACUUCAAAAGGUUUAAAGGGUGUGGGAAGAAAUGCCUCCCUCCUAUUUCUUGUAAAGAUUUUAUUUAUUUAUUUGAGAGAGAGAGAGAGAAUGAGCAGGAGGGAGGGGCAGAAGGAGAAGCAGACUCCUCGCUGAGCAGGGAACCCCAUGAGGGACUUGACCCCUCUGUUGACGAAAGGGAAGAAAAAACCCGAUGAACUCCUUGCUGAGCAGGGAACCCCAUGAGGGACUUAACCCCUCUGUUGCUGAAAGGGGAGAAAAAAAUCCAGAGAAGAAAUGUGAUUGGUGUGGAGGAUACUCCUUAGGCCAAUGGCCAUGGCCAAUGACCAGCGGACUCCUCGCUGAGCAGGGAACCUCAUGAGGGACUUGAUCCCCUGGGAUCAUGACCCAAGGCAGGUGCUUAAUUAACUGAGCUACUUGGUUGCCCACCUCCCUCCUAUUUUUGAGGCUCUCUGUUCCUCAGUUUGGAGGAGGCAAAUGGCACCAAUCUCUUGUAGUGUGUAUCCUUCUUGAGAUAUUUUAAGCAGGAGGAAAUAUUGACACACACACAUAUUUUUUUCUUCCUUUCAACACAAAUGAUUAUCUCCUAUAUAUACACCAUUUUGCAAAUUGCUUUUCCCCCCCUCGUUAAUGCCUUUUGGUAAGUGUUUCACAUCACUACACACAGAACUCCCCCCUUCUCUUCUUUGUGGUGUAGUGUCCCAUCACAUAGAGGUGCCACUCUGUAUGGAAGUGUUUUAGUGGCACCUAGGGCUGUUGCUCUACCCUGGUGGCAUCGCUGGGCUCAGGGGACAGGGUCGAUAACAGUGCCUGGGUAGAGGUUCAUCCUACUGAUGGCUUGAAAGAUGGCCCCUCCUUAGUCCUCCGCAGGCCAGGCAAGGGGGUGAGGGGCAUUUCAUUCCAGCAAUCAUGUCACAGCGUCCUUCUGCCUGCUUUGGCCACCUGUGGGAUUAACCCUGUCCUUGUGAUUGCCUUGCCUCAGGCUGCUGUGGGAAAAGCACGUAUUCCAACUGGAAAUCGAAGUCAAGAUUAUUCUGAUAUAGUUGGAUCAGGUGGUGGCGGUGGCGUUUGGCAGGCGUAUUAGUCAUGGCUUUUUAUUGAAAGUUAUAAAUACCAAUCUCAAACUGGCUUAAGCAAAAAGGAGGAUUUGUGGACUCACACAGGCAAACAAGGCGAUUGGGGAGUUGUGGCAGACACCCAGUUUCCUACCUGAUGUACAUUCUCUCCAUGUUCUCGGUGUGCCCAACUAAAAGCGCUCAGCUCUCGAGGCUCCCUUGCAGCUAGGGUGGUCACGUGACCCUUCUCUGAUGGAAGUAGGCAUGCACAGGUUGGCCCAUCUGAGAAUCCUCACACUUAGCUGGCGUAUGCUUUUUUGUCCUUUUUGCCUGGAAUGUGGAUAUGACACCCAGAGAUGCAGGAAUCAUCCUGGAAGAUGAGAAGGAGAGUCAAGUGAUGAGUCAAGUCAAGUCAAAAUGGUAGGAGAGGGCUGGGUCUCUGCAGUCACCAUGGAACCUGCAUACCAGAUCUCUCCUGUCAGCCUUUCAAUCAGAUGCCACCUGAGAAAAAUAAACUCCCCUUUGGGUCGGUCCUGGA